CACGGUUAUCAUCCAGAAAAAUGGCAGCAGCAACCCAUAAAAAUUGCAGAAGUGUACAGUCUAGAUAAAUAGUACAAUCCAGGCAAUCAAUCAAACAAAAUGACAUCCAUAUAACAACAUUUUUUGGUAACUUAACAUUGAGAGAACACUAAAUUAGCAACCUGGCCAUAAACUAGAUCAUCUGAAAGGUAAUUUAACAAGCAAAACAACAUAAGUGUUUUGGCAUAACUGAAGUUUAUUUCAUGAACAUAUCUCCUUCGCCCUAGUUGUUACCAGUCUUAAUCCUUGGCGUAGCAUCUGUUCCUAUAAGAUCAAAGAGGGCAGAUAUGAGGAGAAAGAUAAAUGGAAACAAACCAAGACAUGCUUUCCUUUGCGCAGUUACAAGAACAACUACAAUGACAUCGAGUGAGUGGCUACAUCAUAUGAUCAAACAACUAGCAAUUACAAGAACCUUUCCUAUAAGAACAACUAACAGAAAAAAAAAGCGAGACAUGGAGUAACAAUGACAAAAGCAAGGCACCAUAUAAUCAAGCUUGCAUUAACAAAUAGUAGCAGCAGAUUCACCUAACUGAACUGAACUAAUAUCAAAGGAAAAGUUCAACCAAACUCCAUACAGGGUUAUUACUAAUUAGAAUUAAGUCAAGCAGCUGCAACUAGUAAAUUAUGUCAGUUCAUGAACAUGCAGAUCAGCUACAAAUCCUGGGCAUGUGGUAAUCACAAAGCAUUGAGUUAGGAUUGAAUCAUGUCACGUUAUGAACAACACAAAUUCAUAAGUUAGUACUUCAUUAAUUACAUACACCCAAAAGCUUUUGUACCUCUUUUUCUUUUUGUGAAUGUUUGUACCUCUGAUUUUGUACAAGAACCGAAAUUAGAGAUACAAACAGAACAUUAACUUUAUAUUUUUCAUCUGAUUCGUAUAUUUUUGGGUCAAACGUUUGUACUAGUGUGAUCAAACUCUUAACUAACUACUACGUACUCCUAGCCCAAAUUCAGUAGUAGAAUAUUUACACAGCCCAAAUUCAGUAGUAGAAUAUGUACAGCCCAAAUUCAGUAGUAGAAUAUGUACAGUAAGAAGCUUUUGUGUUUGGUAAUACGAAUAUCUAAAUCAAAGGCUGUAUCGAACAUACCUCGCAACCAUCUCAAACCCUUCUUGAUCUCCAUGGGUACAGUCCAUAGUACUCAGCACACACAGGGCAAUCAAUCUCCCGCCGAUCUGGUGCUCCAUAGAAGCACGGAUUGCACAAACAUGGGUGCGGAGGUAAAACAGCGGGCGGUAGCAUUGAUCGUCCUACAAUAUUUAUCACUGGCGGCCGGAUGUUGCAGCCAGGACACAAGGGCAGCUGACUCAGGUUUGGAGGCCGAGGGAUGCUGGCAAACUGAGCACCUGGGUUAGAGGCAACACCUGGACCCAUGCCUGCAGCCAUGAGCACGCCGCCUGGCCCUCCGCCCACUGCAUGCGAAAUGCGAAUGAAGAUUUGCAAUCAAGUCAAUUCCUCGUGUAUAUAGAAUUUAGAGAAACGAGGAGAACUCUGUACUAGUAAAUCUUUACCAGCCGGCACGUGAUUUGGGACAAAUUGGAUGGCCGCUGCAGUACCCCCGACGGCCACCUGUCCCGGUGGUGGAGGGAGAAUGUUGUCAGUUCUUUGUUUCUUGUGUGCGGGUCCUGGGGCCAGCACUUUCUCCAGCUCCCUCAUGAAGCUUGACCCCUCGACUUGGUGUCCGGUCACAUCGGGUUCAGGGGCAUCUAGUUUGUCCUGCAGAUCUUGUAAGUCCUGAUUGACAACACCUAUAGGAAACGGGAACGAGGAGUCUGUAUUUAGUCAGGACAGGAAAGCAAGGCAAGCGCUGGAAAAGGAAAACAAGAAGAACAGAGACUCACCUCCAUCUUCUUGAUCCGGCGUCGGGGGGGUAUCAUCUUCGUCUUCGGGUACCAGCGCCUCAAGCAAGCCCACGUCGGCUGUGAACCCACCGCAUACAAAGGACAAGAACAGAAAUCAGAACUGCAAGUCGGCGGCGAUCUAUGAAAGGCAGACGGGAAGAAAAGUAGAAAACCGAGACGGACGGAGACUCACCUGCAUCCUGAGCGGCCGGCGCUGGGUCCUGUGGCACCUCCUCAUGCACGACGACGCCGACUGGCACAGGG
rnacentral:lncRNA from 1 species